GCAUCAUCGACCGAUCCUGAUGUUCUCGGAUGGAUUUGAGUAAGAGCAUACGGGGCCGGACCCGAAAGAAGGUGAACUAUGCCUGUAUAGGGUGAAGCCAGAGGAAACUCUGGUGGAGGCUCGCAGCGGUUCUGACGUGCAAAUCGAUCGUCAAAUAUGGGCAUGGGGGCGAAAGACUAAUCGAACCUUCUAGUAGCUGGUUUCCGCCGAAGUUUCCCUCAGGAUAGCAGUGUUGAACUCAGUUUUAUGAGGUAAAGCGAAUGAUUAGGGACUCGGGGGCGCUAUAUAGCCUUCAUCCAUUCUCAAACUUUAAAUAUGUAAGAAGCCCUUGUUGCUUAAUUGAACGUGGGCAUUCGAAUGUAUCAACACUAGUGGGCCAUUUUUGGUAAGCAGAACUGGCGAUGCGGGAUGAACCGAACGCGAGGUUAAGGUGCCAGAGUAGACGCUCAUCAGACACCACAAAAGGCGUUAGUACAUCUUGACAGCAGGACGGUGGCCAUGGAAGUCGGAAUCCGCUAAGGACUGUGUAACAACUCACCUGCCGAAUGUACUAGCCCUGAAAAUGGAUGGCGCUCAAGCGUCUCAC
rnacentral:rRNA from 1 species